GGGUGGCGCGGGCGCCAUUUUGUGAGGAGGGCUAUAAACGGGCGCCGGGGCCGACCGCCCGCCCAGUUGUUUCUCUGGUGGAGUCGGCUCCGUGGGUGGCUCGCUCGCGUCGCCCCGUCCGGCCUCUCCCAGCGUCCCCACGCGGGAGCCGACUGCCAGAGGCGCGGCGUCGAGCCGGGCUAGUCCGAGGAAACCGCCGUCUCCGCCGCGCGCGCGGGCCCGCCCGGGGCGUUCGUUUGUCGGCGCGCAGUCGCGGCCCCCGGCCGACUCUCCAGGGCCAUGAGUUACGGUCGCCCGCCUCCCGAUGUGGAGGGCAUGACCUCCCUCAAGGUGGACAACCUGACCUACCGCACGUCGCCCGACACCCUGAGGCGCGUGUUCGAGAAGUACGGGCGCGUGGGCGACGUGUACAUCCCGCGGGACCGCUACACCAAGGAGUCCCGCGGCUUCGCCUUCGUCCGCUUCCACGACAAGCGCGACGCCGAGGACGCCAUGGACGCCAUGGACGGGGCCGUGCUGGACGGCCGCGAGCUGCGGGUGCAGAUGGCGCGCUACGGCCGCCCCCCGGACUCGCACCACAGCCGCCGGGGCCCGCCGCCCCGCCGGUACGGGGGCGGCGGCUACGGGCGCCGGAGCCGCAGCCCUCGGCGGCGCCGCCGCAGCCGCUCCCGGAGUCGGAGUCGCUCCCGGUCCCGCAGCCGCUCCCGCUACAGCCGCUCCAAGUCCCGGUCCCGCACCCGCUCGAGGUCGCGGUCCACGUCCAAGUCCAGGUCGGCGCGAAGAUCCAAGUCCAAGUCGUCGUCGGUGUCCCGGUCCCGUUCGCGCUCCCGGUCCCGGUCCCGGUCCCGGAGCCCGCCGCCCGUGUCCAAGAGGGAGUCCAAGUCCAGGUCGCGCUCCAAGAGCCCCCCCAAGUCUCCCGAGGAGGAAGGAGCGGUGUCCUCUUAAGCAAAUGGUAAUGUCCGUGGGCGUCCGAGGCGCACGCACCUCCCGAGCGCAGAGAUGGGGUUUGCGGUAGCCGUUUGUGGUCCGUGUUGGUAGAAGAGCGACUCCCGACGUCGGGGGCGCGGCUGUGAGCUAACUCGGCUUUGGGAGUGAUUCUGAAGAGAGGGGUCUGCAGAGAGGAUGUGCGUGAAGCGUAGAUAAUGAUGGCUGUGUCGUGAACUGUUUGAGACCUACUAAUGAAAAUGACUAUUUCUUGCUGUUUUUAUCCAACGUCUGCAUUUUCCCCCUUUAAAGCUGCGGUCUCCUGUUUGAUAAAAGAAUAUUGGCCAGUAUUGCAGAUUUUAACUGAUUUGGCUGAUCCUCCAGGGACCAGUUUCUGUGGGCGUGUAUUGGAGCAGGUUUGUCUUUAAAUGUUAAAGAUGCACUAUCCUCUUAGAGAAAACGAUCAGUUCAACUAUUGUUGUACUGACUGGGACCUCGUAUUCUAACGGAUGUGGCAAACGAAUUGCAAAGCGGAACAAUGAACUUUUGGAACCCCAAAAAAGUUUACAGAUGUGUCGACGAGCAGCGUAACAAGGAAGACUUGGGGGAAAAGGACCACAUACUCAGUCCAUCGAAGAGUCCUUGGAACAAGCAACUGGCUAUUGAAAAGGUUAUUUUGUAACAUUUUGUCUAACUUUUUACUUGUUUUAAAGCUUUGCCUCAGGUGGCAAACUUCAUUUUAUGUGCCAUUUUGUUGCUGUUAUUCAAAUUUCUUGUAAUUUAGUGAGGUGAACGACUUCAGAUUUCAUUAUUGGCUUGGAUAUUUGAGGUAAAUUUUCCUUUUUGUUUAUAUAGUGCUGACUUUUUUUGUUUGAAAUUAAACAGAUUGGUAACCUAAUUUGUGGCCUCCUGACUUUUAAGGAAACGUGUGCAGCCAUUACGCACAGCCUAAAGCUGUCGAGAGAUUGACUCAACAUUGCCUUCAUUCCUUAAAAUUAAAAAGCUACAAAAGUUGGUGUCAGUUUGUUUGUAUAUGUUAUUUACCUUCAGAUCUAAGUGGUGAUCUGAACCCAAAUUUGUGUAAAGACUUUUCAGGUGAAAAGACUUGAUUUUUUGAAAGGAUUGUUUACCAAACACAAUUCUAAUCUCUUCUCUUGUGUAUUUUUGUGCACUAGGCGCAGUUGUGUAGCAGUUGAGUAAUGCUGGUUAGCUGUUAAGGUGGCGUGUUGCAGUGCAGAGUGCUUGGCUGUUUCCUGUUUUCUCCCGGUUGCUCCUGUGUAAAGAUGCCUUGUCGUGCAGAAACAAAUGGCUGUCCAGUUUAUUAAAAUGCCUGACAACUGCACUUCCAGUCACCCGGGCCUUGCAUAUAAAUAACGGAGCAUACAGUGAGCACAUCUAGCUGAUGAUAAAUACACCUUUUUUUUUCUCCCCUUCCCCCCAAAAUGGUAAAUCGGAUCAUCUUCAUGUAUGAACUUAAAAUGCAGAAAAUGUUAAGGAAGCAAAUGGUUUGUAACUUUGUAAGUACUUAUGACAUGGUGUAUCUUUUUGCUCAUGAAUAUUCUGUACUAUAACCGUUGUUUCUGUAGUUUAAUUAAAACAUUUUCUUGGUGUUAGCUUUUCUCAGAA